UUGACCUAUUCUCUCACGCUCUGAACGUCGCCAAGCUAAAGUUGUCUCCCCUUUCACCAUAUCACCACCGUCGACUGGUAUCUGCACCCUCCGGCGAACAGUACCCUCCGGCGAACUGCACCCUCAAGUUCACCACCGUCCGGUUCAGUCCUCAAGUUCACCACCCUUCGCCCAGAUUGAUUUUGGAUUAUUUAUUUCCAGAUUGUGUUAUGAAAUUAUCUAUUUCCAGAUUGUAGAUAUUGAUGCUGAUACGCCCAGUCCUCUUCGCCCAGUUUUCCAGUCCUCUUCGCCCAGUUAUGCAAUUGCUCUCUUUGUGGUCCAUGGAAUUGAACGUGGAGCAGCAGUAACUAUUGAUGAAGUGCUGUAUGAGGGUGUUGGAACACUAAAAGAUAGAUUACCAAUAUUGCUGGUUUUGAAUAAGAAGGACCUGAUCAAACCCGGUGAAAUUGCAAAGAAACUUGAGGAAAAAUUACUAUAAGGAGGGUGAGUAUAUUUACCCCAAAUUUGAUGCAGUUGAAGCUUAUAGAAGAGCCUUGAAGACCUGGGCAAGUUGGAUCGAUGAACAUCUGAAACAGAAAAAGUUGGUUUUCUAUCGAGGGUACUCAUAUGCUCAUUUCAGGAACCCGAACUUGUUUAAGUUGCAGAGGAUAAUUAUUAUUCAUCAUCAAAAGAGAAGAGAAGAAGAAAGAACUCAAAUGCAGGUUCAAAUGCAAGCUCAAAUUGCAAGUUUGAUGGAUGAGUUGCGUCGCCCAAUGGCAUGUUAUCCAAUCCAAGUACUCAAGCUCAACAUUCGGCUAAUUCAAAUGAUGAAACCUUAGGAGAUGAUUUGAUUAAGUUUAUUAAUAUAUUUGGUACUGGUUCUAAUGAUGUAACAUUAUACUACAACACUUUUGUUGUUGCUAUUCACUUUGA